CGAAAGCCUGAUGCAGCAACGCCGCGUGUGUGAUGAAGGCCUUCGGGUCGUAAAGCACUUUUCUGGGAGAUGAGAAAGGACAGUAUCCCAGGAAUAAGUCUCGGCUAACUACGUGCCAGCAGCCGCGGUAAAACGUAGGAGGCGAGCGUUAUCCGGAUUCACUGGGCGUAAAGCGCGUGCAGGUGGCGCGGUAAGUUGGGCGUGAAAUCUCCCGGCUCAACUGGGAGAGGUCGUCCAAUACUACCGUGCUUGAGAGCAGAAGAGGAAGAUGGAAUUCCCGGUGUAGUGGUGAAAUGCGUAGAUAUCGGGAGGAACACCAGUGGCGAAGGCGAUCUUCUGGUCUGUUUCUGACACUCAGACGCGACAGCUAGGGUAGUAAACGGGAUUAGAGACCCCGGUAAUCCUAGCCGUAAACGAUGUGAACUUGGCGUUGGUGGGUUAAACUCCAUCAGUGCCGUAGCAAACGCGAUAAGUUCACCGCCUGGGGACUAUGGCCGCAAGGUUA
rnacentral:rRNA from 1 species